rnacentral:rRNA from 1 species
AGAGUUUGAUCCUGGCUCAGAAUGAACGCUGGCGGCGUGCCUAACACAUGCAAGUCGGAUGUGCCCGCAAGGGUGCAUGGCAGACGGGUGAGUAACGCGUGGGGAAUCUACCUCUUUGUGGGGAAUAACGUUCCGAAAGGAAUGGUAAUACCGCAUGAGACCGAGGGCUGGGACGCCUUCGGUGAAACCUGGGGACCGCAAGGCCUGGGGCAAGGAGAGGAUCCUGCGUCUGAUUAGCUAGUUGGUGGGGUAACGGCCUACCAAGGCGACGAUCAGUAGCCGGCCUGAGAGGGUGAUCGGCCACACUGGAACUGAGACACGGUCCAGACUCCUACGGGAGGCAGCAGUGGGGAAUUUUGCGCAAUGGGCGAAAGCCUGACGCAGCAACGCCGCGUGGGUGAUGAAGGUCUUCGGAUCGUAAAACCCUGUCGUCGGGGACGAAGGUUGUGGGUUGAAUAGGCCCGCAGCUUGACGGUACCCGGAGAGGAAGCCCCGGCUAACUCUGUGCCAGCAGCCGCGGUAAUACAGAGGGGGCAAGCGUUAUUCGGAAUUAUUGGGCGUAAAGGGCGCGUAGGCGGUGUUUUAAGUGGGAUGUGCAAUCCCCGGGCUUAACCUGGGAACUGCAUCCCAGACUGGAGCGCUGGAGUACUGGAGAGGGUGGUGGAAUUCCACGUGUAGCGGUGAAAUGCGUAGAGAUGUGGAGGAACACCAGUGGCGAAGGCGGCCACCUGGACAGUAACUGACGCUGAGGCGCGAAAGUGUGGGUAGCAAACAGGAUUAGAUACCCUGGUAGUCCACGC